rnacentral:rRNA from 1 species
GGAGUUAGCCGGUGCUUCUUCUGUGAGUGAUGUCCUUCCUGCCGGCUAUUAACCCGCAGGCCUUCUUCCUCACUGAAAGUGCUUUACAACCCGAAGGCCUUCUUCACACACGCGGCAUGGCUGGAUCAGGGUUGCCCCCAUUGUCCAAUAUUCCCCACUGCUGCCUCCCGUAGGAGUCUGGGCCGUGUCUCAGUCCCAGUGUGGCUGAUCAUCCUCUCAGACCAGCUACGGAUCGUCGCCUUGGUGAGCCGUUACCUCACCAACCAGCUAAUCCGACAUAGGCUCAUCCGAUAGCGCGAGGCCCGAAGGUCCCCCGCUUUCCCCCGUAGGGCGUAUGCGGUAUUAGCCUGGGUUUCCCCAGGUUAUCCCCCACUACCGGGCAGAUUCCUAUGCAUUACUCACCCGUCCGCCGCUCGCCACCAGGGACGCAAGCUCCCCGUGCUGCCGCUCGACUUGCAUGUGUUAGGUCGUCGCCGCCACGCGUUACACUACUACGAACCGAACGAUACAACUUACUACGA